rnacentral:tRNA from 1 species
GGGUAUAGCUCAGUGGUAGAACGCAUGCUUAGCAUGCACGAGGUCCUGGGUUCAAUCCCCAGUACUUCCA